GUUAAUGAUAAGGGUCGCCAUUUUUUCAUUUUAAUGCUUGCUUGAAAUUGUAUAAGAACAAAAAUCAUUAAAACAAGAAACCAAAAAUCCUUGUUUUGCAGGGUUUUUUUUUUUUUUUACUACAAUUCUUUUCAUUUUUUCUUCUCGUCAUUUCUCCUAUCCUCUCCAUUAUCUUCAUCAUCUUGCUUUCCUGGGUGAGAUAAUUUUUUUUUCCCUCUCCCUCCUUUCUCCUCUUCAUCAUCAUCGUCCUUCUUUUACUCUAUAAUUCUUUUUUCAUUUUCAGUUUGUACCUAAAAUUAUCAUUGUUGCCAGAUUUUAUAAUUUGAUCUAUUUCUUGUUCAGGAGUGUAGUUAUUCUACAUUUUCUAUUGAAAUUUCUGGAGUUCUCCACCUUUGGUCAUGAUUAAUGCAAUUGGAUUUCUAUAGGGUUAAUGCAAAUGGGUUUCUCCAAAGAAAACUAAUUUGAAAUAUAUAGAAGUUUAACAGUGGGCAAUUACAUUGCACUGGGAAUUUCAAGUUUUU
rnacentral:misc_RNA from 1 species